rnacentral:rRNA from 1 species
AGAGUUUGAUCCUGGCUCAGGAUGAACGCUGGCGGCGUGCCUAACACAUGCAAGUCGAGCGAUUUACUUCGGUAAAGAGCGGCGGACGGGUGAGUAACGCGUGGGUAACCUGCCCUAUACACACGGAUAACAUACCGAAAGGUAUGCUAAUACGAGAUGAUAUAAGAGAUUCACAUGGAUUUCUUAUCAAAGCUGAGGCGGUAUAGGAUGGACCCGCGUCUGAUUAGCUAGUUGGUAAGGUAACGGCUUACCAAGGCGACGAUCAGUAGCCGACCUGAGAGGGUGAUCGGCCACAUUGGAACUGAGACACGGUCCAAACUCCUACGGGAGGCAGCAGUGGGGAAUAUUGCACAAUGGGCGAAAGCCUGAUGCAGCAACGCCGCGUGAGUGAUGAAGGCCUUCGGGUCGUAAAACUCUGUCCUCAAGGAAGAUAAUGACGGUACUUGAGGAGGAAGCCCCGGCUAACUACGUGCCAGCAGCCGCGGUAAUACGUAGGGGGCUAGCGUUAUCCGGAUUUACUGGGCGUAAAGGGUGCGUAGGUGGUCUCUUAAGUCAGGAGUGAAAGGCUACGGCUUAACCGUAGUAAGCUCUUGAAACUGGGAGACUUGAGUGCAGGAGAGGAAAGUGGAAUUCCUAGUGUAGCGGUGAAAUGCGUAGAUAUUAGGAGGAACACCAGUAGCGAAGGCGGCUUUCUGGACUGUAACUGACACUGAGGCACGAAAGCGUGGGGAGCAAACAGGAUUAGAUACCCUGGUAGUCCACGCCGUAAACGAUGAGUACUAGGUGUCGGGGGUUACCCCCCUCGGUGCCGCAGCUAACGCAUUAAGUACUCCGCCUGGGGAGUACGCUCGCAAGAGUGAAACUCAAAGGAAUUGACGG